rnacentral:rRNA from 1 species
UACAGAGGUCUCAAGCGUUGUUCGGAUUCAUUGGGCGUAAAGGGUGCGUAGGCGGCGCGGUAAGUCGGGUGUGAAAUCUCGGAGCUUAACUCCGAAACUGCAUUCGAUACUGCCGUGCUUGAGGACUGGAGAGGAGACUGGAAUUUACGGUGUAGCGGUGAAAUGCGUAGAUAUCGUAAGGAAGACCAGUGGCGAAGGCGGGUCUCUGGACAGUUCCUGACGCUGAGGCGCGAAAGCGUGGGUAGCAAACAGG